rnacentral:rRNA from 1 species
AUUGAACGCUGGCGGCAGGCCUAACACAUGCAAGUCGAGCGGAGCGGCGGACGGGUGAGUAAUGCCUAGGCAUCUCCCUGGUAGUGGGGGAUAACGUACGGAAACGGGCGCUAAUACCGCAUACUAUCAGAUGAGCCUAGGUCGUAGUCGCUAGUUGGUGGGGUAAAGGCCUACCACGGCGGCGAUUCGUAACUUGUCUGAGAGGAUGAACAGUCACACUGGAACGGGGACACGGUCCAGACUCCUACGGGAGGGAGCAGUGGGGAAUAUUGCACAAUGGGGGCAAGCCUGAUGCAGCCAUGCCGCGUGUAUGAAGAAGGCCGUCGGGUUGUAAAGUACUUUCAGCGGGGAGGCGUUACCCGCAGAAGAAGCACCGGCUAACUCCGUGCCAGCAGCCGCGGUAAUUC